CUGAAAUGUCUAUUUAUUAAUAAGUGGUGCAGUAUUUAUUUAAGAUAGAACAUAAAAAAUCAGGUAAGAAUUAUUUGCAUAAUAUAUAUGGAAAUCAACCUAUUAAAGUUGUUCAAAUAUUGGACAGAGCCAGAAUAUAAAUUACACAUACAGUUUAAAAAUUACAGGAAAUCAUAUUAUAAAGAGCACUAAAGGCCACUUGUGGAAUAGUUGUGUUCCCCUGUAAGCCAGAAUGUGAAGAAAGCCUACUCGUAGCACAGAGACAAACCCAGGGAGCAAGGCACCAGAAUUCUAUGCCAUAAAAAGGGGUUAAAAAAUACAAUCCAAAAUCAAAUAUAAUGGAUUCAUGUCACUGGGAACCUCCAUUUGUUCUUCAAAGACUGGUGUUUUCCAUCACUGCUACAUUAGAAAAAGAAGGAAAAAAAAUAGCCAUAUCCUAUCUGAAGCAAGGCAGAGAUCAUUUUUCUCUUUAAAACAAGGAAGGACUGACAAAUCUGAUGAAGUCCACCUAUCUUUCUAAGUUGAUUUUUCAGGAUGGCACAGAGCCGACUUCACCUCUCCAACAGCAAAUCUCUGAUCCUUGGCAAAAUGGCUGCCCCAAAUCUUGCAACUUGGCCACCACCUGGACUCUUAACCCUCAGGGGAACUAUGGGGGUGGGAACUGCCCCCUCCUUGGAAAAGUAUUCAGAGGGGUAUAGAAGGGCCCAAUUACCAGAUCAGGUUGGCUUCCAUGGGAAACCUUGAUCUUUUAAUACUGAGAAAGAGAGACACAACUGUUCUGAGCUUUUGGCCUCCCACAGAAUGUUUUUAUAGACUCACCUGUUUCUGCAGAAUUUCAGAGCUCAGAAAUAAAGGUACAGUCUAGAGACAAAAGACCAGAGUCAGCAGAGACGUGGAGAUAUUUGAACUUGUUUGGUUAAAAACAAUGACAGGAGCUCCUUGGGGGCAGAGAACAAGGGGCACUUGUGGAUGAUCUGCAGCCACACCAAGCCCCGAGAGCUAAUGGAUUCCAAUGUGAACCAGGUGAAUAAUUUAUGAGGCAUUAUUUUCUGCCACUGACAGCUGGAUUGUGAAGCCACUCAAAGGACCUGCUGAACAGACAAGAGGAACAGCUGACCCAGGCAUCACUCUACUCUCCAGGGAACUCAUGGGUCUGUGAUCAUUUUACUGUAAAGCUGAGUGAACGUAGAAGCCCGAAGCAUUGUGGAGGAGCUAGGGCCUGAUUUGAGAGGAAGAAGGGGGAGAGAGAAUGAGCUUUCCAGGUACACGGGCUUUGGUUGAAUAUGCAGCUCUACUUCUUACAAUGUGUGACCUUUGACAAGGUCUUGUCUUCAGUUUCCUCAUCUAUAAGAUGGAGACAAUAACAUCUCCCUCAUGGGGUUGCGAUGAGGAUUGCAUGAACUUUAGAGAGAGCUAUCAUGUCACAAGCAACUCAUAAGGAGUGCUUAGGAUAAGUUUCUCUCCCCUUCCCUGACCUCACUUUUGUGGGCAGAGGAAGAGAAGGGAACAUUAACAUAAAAUAUGGUCUCAUUUUUUAUUACUCUUAGGUAUCAAAUUGCAGUCCAUUCGACAAGUCUAAGAGGAAUUACAAAUACAUUCCUGAGCACUGAGCUGGGCUUUUGACUACCUCAUUGUAAGCCAUUCUCAAGUUAUUCUUAUAUACAGCCGAUUUUUGGCGGUGUCAAAGAAAUUCAUUAUUUCCCUUGAAGCUUAUUUUAAGCCCAUAACAGUGCUAUCUGGAGGAUGAAGGCUUAGGUAGAAUGACAAUCUUUAAAAUUACUGGGCCAACUAUUGUUGUUCUAGAACUUGACCAUCCUUCUUUCUGAAUAUCUCUUAGGAGCUUUCACUUCAGCCUGACUCAGGAGAACUGAAACAUCCUACCACAGGGAUUCACAAGGACUGCUGGGGAGCCCUGCCAAAUUCUGGCCGAUUUAUCCCGAGAACAAUGUAAGUGGAAACUAACAAUGAAGAUGUUCAUUUGAGCCAACAGAGGCCUGUUUACUUCCUAAAAUAAUCUCUUAGUUACAUAACCAUAAGAUGUCCUAAGUUGAGUCCUGUCUGCUUCUUUGUAGCUUUUGGUGAAGGCCCUAGAGUAUCUGCUUAUGUCCUGACAACAUGGGGAUUCUCUGGGACAAGGCAAGAGGACCCAAGCUGUGUUCAAAUGAGACCCAGAGAUCCCAGUGCAAAGGGACACCUUUGGUAAAACUGGCCACUUUGGGUCAUAUAGAUCCCAAAAGAAAUCAUGCCUGACUUCCUAAAAUCAAAACCAUAGGGAUUUAUCAAGAAGAAACCCUGUUUAAUUGGCCUAUAGAUGAGGAUGCAACCUAAGGCAUGACUGUUGCUGAAUGAGCCCAAGUGAUGGGCCAAAAAGGUGAACCAGUCCAAACAUGGCAGGACCAAGAAGGAACAAGCAGCAGUGGUUUUUGCUAGGCCUUUUGAAGACAGCAGGAAUCUGGGAGAAGGAACAUUUGAUAGUCAAAACUCAAACGAUCUCAAGUACUUCUUUCUCAGCUCAAUAGGAUCAUGUUUCGCUUAACAUUUGUGAAGUUGAUUUAUCUAAUUCAUUUUGAUCUUGCUAAAAUAUGACCUUUAAAAUUUUUCAUGUCACAUUGUGACCCAGAAAGACCAAAUACAUACAUGAGAUCAUAGUUUUACCUGAUAAUAUCACUCCUAGUUUGAUGAUGGAAUUAAUUUGUCAAUAUUUCAUGGAGUUCUGCUGAAACGAUUGCAAUUUCUUGGGCAAGUUUCAGAACGACUAGUAUAUCUGUGGUCAUGUCAUCUUGGGUCAUGUUAACCAGUUCCAUUGGAUUAUCAUGCUGUUCCCUUGUCUGACAAAAGGAUCUUUGUGAAAGCACACACUGUUUCUUCCCAUAACUCACAUUCAAUUCCAGACCCUGAAUUUCUGCUUGCUCACUGUGAGCCAUAUUGUUGAGAUUGUCUGUGCAUAGGCAACUUGAGCAGGUUUGGUUUGCCUUUCUGGAAUAUAUUUUUUGGGGAACAAAAGGAGAAUAUCAAAGCAGAGUUAUUCCAGAAGAUCAUUUUUCUCUUUUCCUUUUUGUUUUCUUAAAUGGGAAAAAAACAGCUCUUAAGGUUCUUAUUAUUUAUUCAUUCAUAAAACAUGUAUUUUGUCUAUGUCUAUACUGAUAAAGACAACUUACUAGAUGUUAGACAAUCAAUACUUCCCUACUACUGAUCAAUACAAACCCAAUCUCUGCUGUCCUGGUCUUAUGAUCCAGCAGGGAAGCUAGACUGCCUGCCUAUGGUUUAGGAAAUAAUACAAGCU
rnacentral:lncRNA from 1 species